UACGGGGGGGGGCAAGCGUUUGUUCGGAAUUACUGGGCGUAAAGCGUGCGCAGGCGGUUAUGUAAGACAGAUGUGAAAUGCCCGGGCUUAACCUGGGAACUGCAUUUGUGACUGCAUGGCUAGAGUUUGGCAGAGGGGGGGUAGAAUUCCACGUGUAGCAGUGAAAUGCGUAGAUAUGUGGAGGAACACCGAUGGCGAAGGCAGCCCCCUGGGUCAAGACUGACGCUCAUGCACGAAAGCGUGGGGAGCAAACAGG
rnacentral:rRNA from 1 species